UUUCAUGGGGUGUAGUCCCCGAUACUGUCAUCGACUGAAGCCGUCGGCGGUAGUCUUAGUUUCUACAUUGAUUUGACGCGGAUUGUCAGGGUGCAGAACACAUUUCUUUGCUUGUGGCAGCAUCUGACCACUUGUCUUUCCAAUGGGGACGCGUUGAGCGCACCCACUAGGUGUAGUCCCCGAGACUGUCGUCGACUGGAGCAGUCAGCGGUACUCUUAGAGUCUCUUUUGCUUAUAUGUGACUGAUGUCUUAUCGUGUGUUCCCUUUCCCAUCGGUAGAGUGGUUUGAGCUCGGGAGCCACUAUAGUGCCAUCAAGAAGGGGGUGAAGUACCCGCGCCUCAGCCUUGAGGUCGAGAAGAAUAAGAGCAAGCACUUGGAACAUGGGAAGCACU
rnacentral:lncRNA from 1 species